GCGGGUAUGGUGGAAUUGGUAGACACGCUUGGUUUAGGUCCAAGUGCCUGAAAAGCUUGGGGGUUCGAGUCCCUCUACCCGCA
rnacentral:tRNA from 1 species